rnacentral:rRNA from 1 species
AUUGAACGCUGGCGGCAGGCCUAACACAUGCAAGUCGAGCGGGGUUUUCGGACCUAGCGGCGGACGGGUGAGUAAUGCAUCGGAACGUGCCCAGUCGUGGGGGAUAACGCAGCGAAAGCUGUGCUAAUACCGCAUACGAUCUGUGGAUGAAAGCGGGGGACCGAAAGGCCUCGCGCGAUUGGAGCGGCCGAUGUCAGAUUAGGUAGUUGGUGGGGUAAAGGCUCACCAAGCCAACGAUCUGUAGCUGGUCUGAGAGGACGACCAGCCACACUGGGACUGGGACACGGCCCAGACGCCUACGGGAGGCAGCAGUGGGGAAUUUUGGACAAUGGGCGCAAGCCUGAUUCAGCAAUGCCGCGUGCAGGAAGAAGGCCUUCGGGUUGUAAACUGCUUUUGUACGGAGCGAAAAGGCUCUCUCUAAUACAGGGGGCUCAUGACGGUACCGUAAGAAUAAGCACCGGCUAACCACGUGCCAGCCGCCGCAGUAAGAC